CAGUCGCCACGGGAAUACGGAGGGUGCAAGCGUUAAUCGGAAUUACUGGGCGUAAAGCGUGCGUAGGCGGUUCGUUAAGUCUGUUGUGAAAGCCCCGGGCUCAACCUGGGAAUGGCAAUGGAUACUGGCGAGCUAGAGUGUGUCAGAGGAUGGUGGAAUUCCCGGUGUAGCGGUGGAAUGCGUAGAGAUCGGGAGGAACAUCAGUGGCGAAGGCGGCCAUCUGGGACAACACUGACGCUGAGGCACGAAAGCGUGGGGAGCAAACAGGAUUAGAUACCCCCGUAGUCCCUGUCUCUUAUAC
rnacentral:rRNA from 1 species